UAAAUAGCAUGAGCAAUAAAGAGUGAUUGGCUCAGUUUCUAUCUAGUAAUCAAACCAGUCUUGUUCUUCGAACAUAUCAACUGGCGACGAGGGAAAAACGAAAAGUGAACUAGUAAACUAGAGAAUUUAGUUGAGUUUGUGAUUGGUGAAGUGUUCGUGACACGGUAGAGUCGUGAUUGUUCCAGAUUGGGGAUUUGUGGUCCAGAGCACUGAAUACCGGCGGCGGUGAAAUAACCGUGUUUUUCAAGCUCGUGUACGGUGGUGAUUCGCACAAGCCGGUCGUAAAGCGACGCAAAAAGUACACCUAUAAUUACUGUAAGAGGUAGCGGUACGUGAAUUAGAGGAGGCAGAACGCUGACGUGUAGCAGAAUCCGGUCCAGAUCCAUCGUAAUUCCCCGGUGGCGGCUAGAAGAGCGGUUAAGAACAGCGGGAGGCGGACAUCUCGUUUGGGUUUCGCACGAAUAGAAUAACAGAUAUCCAUCGGAUCAACUCUGGUCUCGGCCCACAAGGGGCAGAUUAAGAUUCGAAGUCAACCUGGACGCAGGCGUAUUGUGACGCUCCAGUUACCACAACAAAGCAGUGGGAAUGAUCAGUCGAAUGAGCACCGAAGCGCAAAGAGGAAAUAUGCAGAGCUGGAUGAAAGCGAAGACGAAUUCAGGGGGUUUACUCCUAGCCCAGAGCCACCUCUUCCAGCGUCGAGCGAACUGCAUCCAAAUUCGCUACGACCCUGUCACCAAGCAUCGGAAACAACAGCUCCACAGCAUCAUCCUAUUCUAAGGCGAUCUACACGGAAGAAGAAAAAGAAAGUGUGUGAUGAAUAUGUUUAUUGAACUAGGAUUGAAUUAUACAAAUUAAAACUAA